GCGGGAGUUGCCGUGGCAACGCCCUCCUUUCCUCCCCCGCUCCGCCUCAGCGGCUUUCCCUGGGAAUGCCCCCGGAAUUCCCGACCCGCCGCUUCCAAGGGACACAGGCCUUAGAGCGGACCGGCACUCUCAGAUCACGUAACCGGCCUUCCCACGCGGAUUUACCCCAUUACAGAGGCCCGCGGCGCAGCGAGGGGCCCGGCAGGCCGCGAGCCGAGUGCGAAGCAGAUCCAGGCCACCUGAAGAAAUGUCAGGAAAGGAAUGCUUUACUCCUUUCCAGUUUCAUGACACAGCAGGAAUGUGGCUGCCUUGCUGCUGAACACUUGUCAACUCUGCUUACCCUGACUGGAAAGACUGAGGGUCACCAGUAUGGAACUAGUCAGUAGCUCUGCCUUAAAAAAAAACAACCUUUAAUUUUUUUUUUUUUUACAUCAUGUGUAAAACAGAAAAUAAUCCCAACUGUGUUAAGGAUUAUGGAAAACCAGACCAAUAUUGAAGGAAAGCUUCCAGAACAAUGGCUGAGGCAGCAGGGGAGAAAGCAAAGGAUUUGCCACUGGUCACCUGUUGUAACUUCCUGAAAAAACAUCUCUGAACAGAA